ensembl:lncRNA
UUUAAUUGCAUGUAAAGUUAUGGCACACAAUUAAGUUGAGUAUGGCAACAAAAACCACACAGGACAGUAUUAAACCAUUGUAAUGUUGAAUCUGUUAAAGGUGAAUUUGUUAAAUUGCAAUAGGAUUAAAUAUAUUUAAUUUAUUCUUAAUGACUGAAUACAAUAAAAUCAACAUUUUAAUUUAAUAAAUGUUUUGAACCUAAAUGAAUUUUAGAAGAAUUUGUAAGCAUCUCUAAAGUUUUUCAUACAUGAAAUACUUAUAUUUCAGGUGUUGCCAGUACUUAAAUAAUUUCUACCAGAAAGACUCAGGAGGUAUAGAUAAGACUGAAGUAUUUAUUUACAACAACACAAAAUUAUUUUAGCGUAGGCCCCAUCCGUAGCAUGGAUCUGAAGUUUGUAGAUACCAGCUAUUCCUGCCGAAGACGAAGGCAGGGCGGAGCCUACCCCCCGCAUGGACAGGGCCAACCUGGUGGUGGUGGGGAGGAUGGAGGGAAAUGACAGCGGCGGUAUCUGCAAACACAAAUAGGAUGUGAGUAGUGCGCUUUUAUAUCCAUCGUGUUGAAAGCCGAUUGGCUAGACCUUAAUUGUAAUGUGACGUGAUAUUUAGUCUUCCUAGUAGAACUUACGCUUCCAUUUCUACCAGAAAGACUCAGGAGGUAUAGAUAAGACUGAAGUAUUUAUUUACAACAACACAAAAAAAAAAAUAUAAUUAUUUUGGCGUAGGCCCCAUCCGUAGCAUGGAUCUGAAGUUUGUAGAUACCAGCUAAUCCUGCCGAAGGCAGGGCGGAGCCUACCCCAAAAGAAAGAAGAAUAAUGUAAUACGCACCAGAUGAAGUAUUUCUUAGAGGAUCCUGGAACAUGAACGAAAGAGAUAAAUUGAGAUAAUUAGCCAAACAUAAGAAUACAACAUCAGAUUAUAGCUAAAGUAUUAGCUUAUAUGGCAAUGAAGAUAGACCACAGAGCCUUUGAGAGAGGCCACGAUAGGCCGGACAGUGAGGCAGAGAGGCAGGCCACGAUAGGCCGGACAGUGAGGCAGGCCACGAUAGGCCGGACAGUGAGGCAGGCCACGAUAGGCCGGACAGUGGUUAACGGCCCCGGCGGGCCACAAAAAGAAAGCCACGAAGGCCGCAGAGAAAAGGCCUAGCUAGCCCGCAGAGGAGGAUGUCCAAAUUGACCAUAGUGAGAAAGCCAAGAGGCCGUAGAAUGAAGUGAAAUGCAGUAUGCACAGAGAGGAAGGCCAUGUAAUUAGACCACGGUGGGAACACCACGAGAUGGGUAACAGAGGGGAAGGCCACGAAAGACGGGCCACAAAAAGAAAGGACAAGUUAAGCCACAGUAAUCAGAGGUUGUUGGGAGUAAUAUGAAGAGGAAUUGUACCACCACCAUUAUUUGCAUAUAGAUUACUUUGAGGACAGCUUGAUAUACCUUAAGAUGUUUAGUAUUUCAGGUCUAAUGUGGAAUUCCAAUGUGGAGGAUGACCAUCUUCCCAGUAGCUUCAUAUCUGAUGUUUGUACUCCGAGUUCAACAGCAUUAGUGACCAGUGUAUAGAAGCGGUGACAGACCGCAGCUUCUAAACGUGACUACAUUGAGCUGAACCAGCUGCAGAGACAAAGGCCCCGAUAGGCCAUGAAAGAACGCUACAAGAGGCCGUAGAGAGUAUAGCUGCUAAGGCCAUGACGGAAGCCUGCGAGAGGCUGUGGAAGAGUAAAUGUAAUGAAUAGAUGUAACACCACCACCACCAGUAUUUGCUUAAUUUACCUUAAACACACGCAUUACAUUACGUUGAUAGGCAAUGUACUUUUCUUUAAGCUAUGUGAUGUGAAAGCCUUGUGUGUAGAUGACAACGAUAGACCAUUGUGUGUGAAAAACCAUGAUAAACUGGACAUGGGGAGCAUGUGAGAAGUAGUCACCGCCAGUAGUUUGCUAAGAGUAUUAUACUGUACCUUGAGCAUUACGUGAAAUAAAGUCUGAUCUUGACGGACAUCCGAUGAGGAGGAUCAUGAACAUAGCAGCCUGAAGGCAAAUUACAGGAAUUCUAAACCACCUCACGGAGUAAGAAAGGUGAUUAGGUUAAUUGAUAAGAGGUAGAAUUAGGGUUCUAGCAGACAUAAGAGCAUAUACACAGAUACAAUUCUUUAGGCUAGACUCCUGCGCACUCUUGAUAAAACUCCAUCUAACUGCCAGAAACUGCAGAGCAACCUAUCCUCCACCCCCCAAAAGAAAAAUAGAAAAUGAGCCAGAUCAGCAUGACCAUAAAAAGAGAUACUAAAUUUAAGCAAAGUCGUUGUGACAUGUGAAGGCCACAAUAGGCCAACUUCAUAACUGUAAUGGACACCGUCCCUGAUGACCAUCAUAGCAGAGUUAUGCAAAGUGCCUCAGCAGUCUGUGUAAGGUGAAGGCAGCAACAGCCGGGUAAGACCAAACAAGCCUCGAUUAUAACUUAGUCUGCGUGAAAUCAAAAUUGACUUUACUAGCACACAUGGCUAGUAUUGAUGUAAAUGAUCUGUGCAAGUUAAUCCACUGAAAAAGAAAAAUAAAUAAUCUUCUUUGUAAUCCUUAAUCAAAAUCUGAACAUUUACUUCCGCUGUGGAAUGGCAUUCCUUUUCUAAUGACGUCAGUUUGACGGCAUGGGCAGAAUAUCCUUAAACACACCCCUCCAGCCAUUAGUUUGCGAUAAGUGAAAGACAGACUAGAAGUGCAAACAAAAACCAUGCCCUCUAUUCAAUAUUCCGUUUCAGCUGGAAAUACGUCAACACACUGAAAUAAAGUCAGCAGCGACCUCCAGUUCACGUGGACUUUAAAGAUGAGCCGACUCUUACCUAGAACUCAAAUGAAAGAUGACCAUAUACAUCAGCUUGAUAGAGCCUGCUUCAUAAUAGCGCCAGUCCAGAGAGUGACCUGUGUAAAGAUGAGGUGAGAGCAAAAGUUCUCUGCAUCUGCAGCCAUGGAAGACCGUCAGCAGGCCCAGAGAGAUUUCAUGCGUGCAGGUUCACGUGAGCGUACAGAUGAAAUAUUUUGUUGAUAGAGACACAAGCAGCGCCGACACGACAGCUCGGAAAGCACCGGCGUUGCCAUGUCCUCGAUUUUUCUGAGGAAUUGGGAUAUUGUAACACUGUUGCUGCGGGUUGCUUUACAUGUCCACGAGUUGAAGCGACCCCAAUAAUGUGCUAUUUAGCGCCUGGAAUGUGAAUUUUUUUUUUUUUUUUCCCCGUCAGGGAAACGCGUUUUCCCGUCUCGAAACGCGAUUGGGAUAGUUUUGAGUAGCAAUUGGCGGUUUUGAAAAAACCUGGCAACACUGGAAAGCACUCGGAACUCCGUCAAUGUUUCACUUCCUCUGCCGAGAAAACUCCGAAGCCUGUGUAUCAUCCAACGCUACUAACGACCAAAAACAUUCACGACACCAGAGCAAAGCCAACUAUCUAAUGUGCAUCUUGAGAGGAAUGUCAAACUCGCAAUAGCUUGCAGGAGACGAACUUAACUGCAAGUAACCCAGUGAAAAUCAGGCAAUAGCCUAAACGACAGUUUGCGCAAAAAUGACAGCGGCGGUAUCUGCAAACACAAAUAGGAUGUGAGUAGUGCGCUUUUAUAUCCAUCGUGUUGAAAGCCGAUUGGCUAGACCUUAAUUGUAAUGUGACGUGACAUUUAGUCUUCCUAGUAGAACUUACGCUUACGCUUCCAUGUAUGUAGUGUUUUAGGAGAAAAACUGUUGGUGAUGCUAGUGCCACACAAAUUACACACUUUGCUUAAGCUCAGCAGUUCAUAUAACUGAAUGUCAAUCCAAAUUCAUUAAAGUUUGGUUGUUCCAGCGCAAGCUGCUUCUCUUCUGAUAUCUCUUUGUAUUAUGGACUCAUUAGCAACACAACAAAAAGGUCAAAGCGAGUGAAAAGAAAAUUACCCCGAGAGGUUAGGGGUAGAUUCAGCCAAGAAAAUUACAAUUGUAAAUUAGCUUUGAUAUUCCCCAUCAAAAGCAACCUUUAUUAUCUGCUAUUUGGCACUGAUGUUUCAACAAAUAAGAGGAUUCUUAGUCACCCAGAGGAUGUGGGCAGAUUGAAUUUUUCAUUUAUUUGUUUCAAUUCCGUCACCAUAAAAGUAUGGCCCUCAGAAACCCCUUCGUUUUCUUCUCUACUUCUUCAUGGUUUUUAUCUCAGCAUGCUGUAUUACCAUACGUGAUGGUGGAAACUGGCGACCGUUAUUGUUCCGCCCGCCUUGCAUCCAGCAAAGAUGUAUGAAAACUCAAGAGGAGGCUUGACACAUCUGAAAACCUCUCCAUGCAUACGCUUUUCUCAUUCAUGUAGCACACCUUCCUCUUCACUCCAUCAAUCCUUAUUUUUAAGAUUAAAUAAUUCCUCUCUAGGGCUUUUCACAACCACUCCAUUGUAUUCGCUGUCAUUGUACACCACAUAAUGUUGUUACUUUGAUUGCGGCUUACUUUCAACCCCAGCGCAUAGCAUCUAAUGAACAAUACUGACAGGAACGUUCACGGUUUGCAGAGAAGUUUAAGGUUCACAAUUCACUCAUUUAGCUUUAUGUUACUGUAAGUGAAUUGCACAAUACCAUGAAGUUGAUCGCUAUGGCAACAAGGCUGGCUGUUCUUUGACAGGUGGAUGCUUAAAACUAAUGGCUAAGGCUGGACACAGUUGUCAUUUUUCAUAUUUCACUGUACUAACAUUAAAGGAUGCUGGGAUUUAUCAUCUCAUUUUGUUCUCUGUUUUUUAAACGCUUCUUUCCACUUGUGCGUCUCAUUUCCACAUACUCUAUUAUUCAUAAAGAUAUUAGUGCCAUGUAAAAGAUGAUUUUUAUAAGCUGUCAGGAAUCCAGCGAGAAAGUGAGAGCGCAGAGGGGUGACGCUGUUUCG